rnacentral:ncRNA from 2 species
UCACCGGACACGGGGUGCCCCGCACAGGGGCUGAGAACACACCCGUCGAACCUGAACCAGUUAGCACUGGCGGAGGGAUGUCUUCAUGUCAUUGC